rnacentral:rRNA from 1 species
UACGAAGGGGGCUAGCGUUGCUCGGAAUUACUGGGCGUAAAGCGCACGUAGGCGGCUUUCUAAGUCGGGGGUGAAAUCCUGGAGCUCAACUCCAGAACUGCCUUCGAUACUGGAGAGCUCGAGUCCGGGAGAGGUGAGUGGAACUGCGAGUGUAGAGGUGAAAUUCGUAGAUAUUCGCAAGAACACCAGUGGCGAAGGCGGCUCACUGGCCCGAUACUGACGCUGAGGCACGAAAAGCGUGGGGGAGCAAACAGG